CGGGGAGGUAGUGACGAAAAAUAACGAUACGGGACUCAUCCGAGGCCCCGUAAUCGGAAUGAGUACACUUUAAAUCCUUUAACGAGGACCAAUUGGAGGGCAAGUCUGGUGCCAGCAGCCGCGGUAAUUCCAGCUCCAAUAGCGUAUAUUAAAGUUGUUGCGGUUAAAAAGCUCGUAGUUGAACCUGUGUGUCACAGUGUCGGUUCACCGCUCGCGGUGUUUAACUGGCAUUAUGUGAUACGUCCUAUCGGUGGGCUUAGCUCCUCGCGGGCGGUCCAACUAAUCUCCCAUCGCGGUGCUCUUCACUGAGUGUCGAGGUGGGCCGAUACGUUUACUUUGAACAAAUUAGAGUGCUUAAAGCAGGCUACCUUCGCCUGAAUACUGUGUGCAUGGAAUAAUGGAAUAGGACCUCGGUUCUAUUUUGUUGGUUUUCGGAGCCCCGAGGUAAUGAUUAAUAGGGACAGAUGGGGGCAUUCGUAUUGCGACGUUAGAGGUGAAAUUCUUGGAUCGUCGCAAGACGGACAGAAGCGAAAGCAUUUGCCAAAAAUGUUUUCAUUAAUCAAGAACGAAAGUUAGAGGUUCGAAGGCGAUCAGAUACCGCCCUAGUUCUAACCAUAAACGAUGCCAGCCAGCGAUCCGCCGAAGUUCUUCAGAUGACUCGGCGGGCAGCUUCCGGGAAACCAAAGCUUUUGGGUUCCGGGGGAAGUAUGGUUGCAAAGCUGAAACUUAAAGGAAUUGACGGAAGGGCACCACCAGGAGUGGAGCCUGCGGCUUAAUUUGACUC
rnacentral:rRNA from 1 species